rnacentral:rRNA from 1 species
UGGGGAAUUGUUCACAAUGGGCGCAAGCCUGAUGACGCAACGCCGCGUGGGGGAUGAAGGUCUUCGGAUUGUAAACCCCUGUCGAAUGGGACGAAAGACUCUGGAGCUAAUCAUCCGGAGAGUGACGGUACCGUUAAAGGAAGCCACGGCUAACUCUGUGCCAGCAGCCGCGGUAAUACAGAGGGGGCAAGCGUUGUUCGGAAUUACUGGGCGUAAAGGGCGCGUAGGCGGCCUGUUAAGUCGAACGUGAAAUCCCCGGGCUCAACCCGGGAACUGCGUCCGAUACUGGCAGGCUUGAAUCCGGGAGAGGGAUGUGGAAUUCCAGGUGUAGCGGUGAAAUGCGUAGAUAUCUGGAGGAACACCGGUGGCGAAGGCGGCAUCCUGGACCGGUAUUGACGCUGAGGCGCGAAAGCCAGGGGAGCAAA